GUCAGCGCCGCGGUAACACCGGCGGCUCGAGUGGUAACCGUUAGUUAUUGGGUCUAAAGGGUCUGUAGCCGGCCGGAUAAGUCUCUUGGGAAAUCUGGCAGCUUAACUGUCAGGCUUCAGGGGGAUACUGUCUGGCUCGAGGCCGGGAGAGGUGAGAGGUACUUCAGGGGUAGGGGUGAAAUCUUGUAAUCCUUGAAGGACCACCAGUGGCGAAGGCGUCUCACCAGAACGGACCUGACGGCAAGGGACGAAAGCUAGGGGCACGAACCGGAUUAGAUACCCGGGUAGUCCUAGCCGUAAACGAUACUCGCUAGGUGUCGGCCACGGUGCGACCGUGGUCGGUGCCGUAGGGAAGCCGUGAAGCGAGCCACCUGGGAAGCACGGCCGCAAGGCUGAAACUUAAAGGAAUUGGCGGGGGAGCACCAACCAACGGGUGGAGCUUGCGGUUUAAUUGGAUUCAACGCCGGAAAUCUUACCGGGACCGACAGCAAUAUGAAGGCCAGGCUGAAGACUUUGCCGGAUUAGCUGAGAGGUGGUGCAUGG
rnacentral:rRNA from 1 species